CUACGGGCCGCUCCAGUGAGGAAUAUUGCACAAUGGGGGGAACCCUGAUGCAGCAACGCCGCGUGGAGGAUGACGCAUUUCGGUGUGUAAACUCCUUUUAUAUGUCAAGAAAAUGACGGUAGCAUAUGAAUAAGCACCGGCUAACUCCGUGCCAGCAGCCGCGGUAAUACGGAGGGUGCAAGCGUUACUCGGAAUCACUGGGCGUAAAGGACGCGUAGGCGGGUUGGAAAGUCAGGUGUGAAAUCCUACAGCUUAACUGUAGAACUGCACUUGAAACUUCUAAUCUAGAGUAUGGGAGGGGGAGAUGGAAUUAGUGGUGUAGGGGUAAAAUCCGUAGAUAUCACUAGGAAUACCUAAAGCGAAGGCGAUCUCCUGGAACAUUACUGACGCUAAGGCGCGAAAGCGUGGGGAGCAAACAGGAUAGAUACCCUGGUAGUC
rnacentral:rRNA from 1 species